UCGCUGGCAGUCCAAUGGUUAGGACUUGGCACUUUCACUGCCAAGGUCCCAGGUUCAAUCCCUGGUCAAGGAA
rfam:Ovis aries breed Texel chromosome 3, whole genome shotgun sequence.